GGGGAUGUGAUGUAGUGGUAUCAUAUUCGCUUUGCAUGCGAAAGGCCCCGGGUUCGAACCCCGGCGUCUCCA
rfam:Phycomyces blakesleeanus NRRL 1555(-) unplaced genomic scaffold PHYBLscaffold_33, whole genome shotgun sequence.